rnacentral:tRNA from 1 species
GGUCUUUUAGUUUAAUUUAAAAUGUUGGUUUUGUAAAUCAAAGAUGGGUGCAACCCUUAGGCCA